GAAAGGAAAUAGGAUAAUUAAGUGCUAUAUUAUUUAAAAUUGAGGAAAGUUCUUCCUUUUCUUCAUCCUCAAACAGCCGACUUUUUCCUCAAAAGAAGAACAAUCAUUUCCUUCUUUCAAGCUAAUUUCAAAGAGAAAUUUCAAGUGAUAGCUCCAAUAUCUUGAAGGAAAAAGGUGAAUUUCUUCGAUUAUCUGUUUUCCUACAAUUCUAGCUUGAAGAAAAAUUAUUCUUUCAAUUCUAGGGCUUUCGAAAAAUUUGGGGAUUUAAUGUUAGAGUUGAAGUAUGGUCUUAAUAUCGAGAUAUAUUAUGUUUUUGAUGUUCCUAAGCCGGAUUAUGGUGAUUAAUUGUGUUAAUUGUUACUUAAUUUUGAUUUUGCCCAAGUUAGCGUAAACCCUAUGUUUGAGUUUGAAGAGUUGUGAUAAGUUCUUGAAUAAUUGAGUUCAUAUAUGUGUUCUUGAGGUGGAAUUAUGUCAUAUAUGAAUAAAUUAUGAGUUUACACCACAUAGUUUGUGAGAUUGAUUUUGUUAGUUUAGGGAAAAUUAGGGGUUUUGAGUUAAGAAGGUUUAUAUGCUAUUAAUUGAUGGAUAUAGAUAUACUAUGAUGUGAUUUUAUCAACUAUGGAAAUUAGAACAGCCCUAUUACAUCAUUUUUUNUUAAGUUCUAAUGUAUGGAAAAUUGUUAUAAGACUUGUUAUGCUAUAACUUGUUGGCUUUGUUGUGUUAAACAUGAGUUAAGUUUGAAGUUAAAGCAUUCUAGUAUGUAUUAUGAUCAUGUAUUUGAGUCUCUACACUUUUUAUUUGGCCAAAGUAUGAGUUAUGUGUUGAAUUGAAACAAAAGAUGCAUUGCUGUCAAUUUUUAGCUUGACAGAACAAUGUCUUGCGGGAUGAUUUUGAUGAUGUUCCCAUAGUCCAAAUAAUUUGAAAUUUUUACUGUAAUAACUUUAUCAUGAGUAGUACGUUUCUGCAAAAUUUCAGCUAAAUCCGAGAUCAUUAGAUGUGUCAAACGAGUUUCUGAAAUGUACUGCGCGAAGCAGCAAAGUUCAGUGGCAGAUUCUGCCUUUUGUGAUAUAACUUCUCAUACACUUGAUGUAUUGUAUUUUAGUAACUUUCUAAUAAAAAUAGACUUUGAGUGAUUUCUAAAAAUGUGAAGCUUGUAUUUUUCUUUAAAGAGGUUGAUUUUAUAUGAUAUUUCAAAGUUGAGAUUCAUAUAUGAUUACAUAUUUGAAGUUACUUUUUUUUUACUUGGGGGAGUUGGGGAGGGGGAGCAGUGGGGUUUGAACCCGGGACCUCACUGUUCACACACAGGAGAUCGCACCGCUUGAGAUUUGACCCAUAUUUAAGUUACUUACUUGGAUAGUUGAGUAAAACCAUGCUUAAGUCAUUGGUCAAUUCUUGAAUUGAUGUUUUAGUUAUUAAUUGUAAGCUAAUCUAUAUAGAAUGGAUUAGUUUACUCUUAUACUUUUUCAACUUGAGAUAUCCCAAGAGAUAUGAUGUUAUUGUUUGCUUUUAGUUAGUUAAGUCCAUAUAAGUAGAAUACUCAGAUUAGAGGAUCCAACUUUCAAGUGAUAAAAGUUUCAUUCAAGAUUUACUUUCUAUUUACUUACUUAUUAUCCAAUCUUACCUGGGAACCUCAUUAUAAUGAAGGUUCGAGUGGCAGUGUAGAGUGAACAAGCAAGGACUUCUAUUUCAUUAAGCGUGUCAGGUGGGCUUACUAACUCAAGAGAUAAAGAUACAUACUUUACUAUACAAAGUUUAAGUGUAUGCAUUUAUUUUCAAAUUAUUGACUUGCCAAUAUUUGAGAUUUGUAUGAUAACAUCUACAUAGAAGAACGAAUUCAGGUCCUGAGCGAGUCAGGAUUUGUGUACACAGAGUUGACAGUUAACCUUUGAGUUAGCUUGUCAUUGUGUUUGAGAAGAAGGCCUACUUCUCAACACUUAAAGUUAUAUGAUGCGUAGAUAUGGUACAUACAUGUUAUUUGUGUCACACCCCAAUUCUUGAAACAAUAUAUAACUAUAACUGGGGUACGACUCAUCAUUUAAAAUGAACAAUGGAAAAACCUUGUGAAAUCUGAAUAAAAGGGAUAACAAUCGGGCUUAGCCCAUUUUUCAGAAGAAAGACAGGUAUUCAAGUGAUACGAAUCAAUCAACAAGCAUAAUAACUUCAGGAUCACAAGUUUAGUGUCAUGCUUCUGAUAACCAACAUUUAUAGAAUGAAGUACUUGCGAAUUAAAAGUCUCGGCUCAACAAAAGAUAUUGUUUAGAGUCACAACAUAAAGGUCUUAAGUUAAGGAAAACAAAAGACAUAUAUUGGCUAGUUCUACAGCGGAAGUCAAAACACGGAGUUGAACCCUAGCCUCAGCUCACCCCAUCAGCACCAGCCGUUAACCUAAAAAAUAUUUGAAGAUAUUUGGGCUAAGUACUAAUGUACUUAGUGGGCUGCAACUUUUGAAACAUUUCAUAAUCUGAAGGCAGUUUAUCUAAUCAUACUUGACAUGACUUAGAAGGUUUUUAAAGUGAAAGAACUUCUAAGCAUGUUAAAACAUUUCAUUAUAUAUAUAUGCUUAAUUUGCGCGCAGUUGUCACACUCAUUUCUGUUACUCGCUAUGAUCCCGGACCUUUUAGCCACCGACGGAUCCAUUUUCUCCCAUUUACUUGAACUGAGGGCGUAACCCAGACAAGUUUCUUUUGACCUCGGGACGCUACCCAGGCAGGCCCUUACAUUACAUGCUUCGGAACACAUCCAGCAAGCACCCUUAUAACGCCUCUUAGUUAGAGCCCGAUGGAGAUCAACCCACCGAGUCAGCUAACGGUGUACACAAUUCUCAAAUAACGUGUUAGGCUAUAAGAGAACCUCAAUUGAUUCGUUGUGGCGAGCCUUAAACAGAGCAGAGUGCACAUAAACAUUUUAUUGGAUAAACAAUUUAUAUAUCACGAACAUUUAAGGUCAUUAGCUCAAUCAUACAUUUGGAAAGUAAGCCCACCUAUUUAAGCAAAGCCUGUCGUUUAACCUUAUCUCUGAAUCGAAAAAGCAGUGCUAAUCCUCUUGAUUUUCAAGGCCUACAAGAAAUCUAUUCUUAAUAGGUAUCUUAAAUCUAAACUCAAGUCACGGUAAAGUGCUUAACAUUCUAUGAUUCACUUAGCCGGGUUUUCAAAAUUUAAUGGAUAAAUAAUUGAAAACAAUUCUGUUGAGUUAAGAACACCAACAAUAUUCUUACUCGACUUUCUUUUGUAAUUGAAAUUAUAAAUAACCAAUUAAAUCAUGAUGCAAUGCAUGACUCAUUUCAUACUCAAGCAUAUAAUAAGUGUUUACCUAAAAUAUGUACAUAAUAAUAAUAUAAUAUCAUUAUGCAAAUUAUUCUUUAAAUAAAUUAAUCAAACUAAGUAAGUCUAAUUAAUUAAAAUAGGGCAGCCCAAAUAAAUAAGAAGAAUCAAGCCUGAUCAUUUAAAAUAAAUCUCGGGGAUUUGGAGGAAGCGAACAGAAGAAGGAAGAAGGAGCUAGAAGAAUCUGAAGAAAGGGAAAGGUUGACCACAGCAAGCAGCUGGAAGCUAUCUUCAAUCGGAUCAAUCAAGGAUUGAGCUAAAGAAGGAAAGAAGAUCUCGAUGAAGAUAUGAAGCUGGCGCAGCUAGGGUUAGACCUUUACCAUUCGACAGUAUAAAAGGAGGAGGAUGUGCAGCGUGAAUGGCUUCUUGGCACUUUUGAACUCCCGUUUUAUUUAGUUUUACUACUCUAAUUCCGCCGCGUGUGGCAUCCAAAACAAUUUAUAUUCCAGUACUGUUUCCUAUUUCAGUUGUGUUUUCAUUCGAACAAGAUUCAAGGCUCGAGGCCGUAGGUAUCAUUUCUAUUAAUCAAGUAUUUUCCUUUUGCU
rnacentral:lncRNA from 1 species